AACCAAGACGGSUAAGUUAUAUUUUAAACGGUAAAAAGACAGUUAGGUUUAAAAUUUUUACAUUAUUAAAAGUUUGAUUAGGAUUUAUGAAAAAGUAAAAUUUGAACUUAAAUAUAUGAUUUUGUGCAAACUUAAAUACUGAAGCUGUGACAACUUAGAGGGAAACUGGGAUUAGAUACCCCAUUAUUCUUAGAGGUAAACAUGAAAUAUAAUCUACCUGAGUACUACGAACUACAAAGUUUAAAACUCAAAGGGCUUGGCGGUGUUUCAGACCCCUCAGGGGAACCUGUCUCAUAAUCGACAAUCCGCGCUAUACCUAAUCUUUAUUUGCUCUCAGUUUGUAUACCGUCGUCGUCAGGUAACUUUUAAAAAAGAAGAAGUUAGCAGAAAAAUGAAUUAAGUUAAUACGUCAGAUCAAGGUGCAGCUUAUAUGAAGAUGAGGAUGGGUUACAAUUAUAUACUUAUAACUACGAAUUAACUAUUUGAAUAAAUAACUAUGAAGGAGGACUUGAAAGUAAGUUAAAUUAUAUAAAUAUAUUGAAUUAGGCUCUGAAACGUGC
rnacentral:rRNA from 1 species